AGAGGUCUUUUAUGAUGUGAAAGGCGAAGUCGGGGCAAGAAAGUCGUCCCAUCUGGUGUCGCUGAUGGAGACGGUUGGAAGCUGUUGUGGUGGUGCUCGGCCAGCGCUAUGACAAGGACACGAGCAGCAUCCAGACAGCGACGCAGGAGGAGGAGGAGGAGGCAGAACAGCAGCUGUGGAUAGAAAUGAGGACAUGGCUUCCUGCCACCAUCCAUAAUCCACAGUGAUCUGCAACAUCAUCCAUCCUGAAAUCAGACAUCAUCUGCAUAGAUUAUUGGCUCCUUACUUCCUCUGUUGCUUUUUUAGACUUUACUGCCGUGUCUAUAGCAAGAUAAACUAGUUUCCAACUAAAAGCAGGUUUUACUUGAUUAUCGGUGCACAGAGCUGUGCAUGUGUUCUGUUUUGACUCUAUUGUGCUUUGCUGCUCCUCCUCCACACAGCUGACCUCCAGAUUGUUAAAAGCGAGCGCAUGAGACAAUUGUCACACAGCGGAGUCUAUUUUCCGGGAGGGCGGCUUUGGUUUUCUAACCAAACGCUGCGACACAAAAACCAACAGGACAGCGGUCACCGAGGUCAGCCAGAACCGUCCUACAACUGUGUGAUGGGCAAAAGUGGAAAUUUCCAUCCUGAAGCAGCUGUGGGUCUGAAUCAUCGAGGAGCAGCUUCAACAAGGAAUUCAUCUGCAGGACUGCAUGGAGGACAGAAAUAGCCGCGGGGGCUUCCUAUCAGAGAGGAAAACCAAUUUAUGUAAAGGACAUGCUGGGCGGGGCCACGGUCCAGGAGGACUCCCUCGCUCAUUAUCCACCACACCUGCCCCGCAUCGCAAUCAGUGCUGCUUUGAAGCUGGCUUCUCCCCGUGAUGCGGCGCCAGAGGAUUCACUCCCCUGCUAGCGAGCCUCCUCAGCCUGUCGUCCUGCCCAGCCAUCUCGAGGCAACUACCACCACCAGCAGCCCUCCAGGUUUCCCACCUCUGGAUCCAAGCCUUCAUGAGCACCCUCUUCCCCGGAACAUGGAUUCACCCCCCAGCACUGGAGCACUUCACCGGAGCCCCCUAAGCCUUCUCACCUCCCCUCACCAAGUCCAGCCUGCACCAGCACUUCCCCCUCCUGCUUCCUUGGUGUCCUCACUCCUUCCCCGAUUAAAAACCCUCUUUUAACCACCCA